AGGGUAACUUCCUGAUGUUGCCAUGGCAUUUGUAAACUGUAUGGCACUGGCGGGAGUGUCUUUAGCAUGUUAGCGCAUUAUAUAAUUAGUGUAUAAUGAGCAGUGAGACGACUGGAGGUCACUUUCAUCGCCAUCUUGGUUUUGGUGGGUUUUGGACAGCUUCUUUACGCAUGCUGUUUUAUCAGCAAGGUCUUUGUGACCUGUAUCUUGUGCCGACCUCCUAUCUCAUCCUGUGACUAGGAAUGCCUUAACCUCCUGGAAUGCAGCUCACAUGCCAGAAACUAUACAAUCCACCCCCUCUGAAGGAGUUUGUUCAUUUAAAAAAAAAAAAAGGAUCACAGUCUGGAAGUCUGCUCACAGUCUCAAGGUUGGCAUAUCCCCUAGAGCCCCCAGACUCCUCAUCCCAUGGAGACCAACAUGGCCAGGGGAGGGCCAGAGCAGGGCCUUCUAAAUCACAGACCCCAGGGCAGGAGCCCCUCCGGUCUGGAUCUAAGGAUGGUAUUUUCAACAAUUCCUAAAUUUUUAUCCUAGGCUCUCCAAAUGGGAGUCUAAAGGUCUCAAAACAUGGUCCAGAAGAAGUAUGCAAAAAUGUAAAUUCCUAGGCCCCAACCCAGACCUAUGAAUCAGAUGAUCUGUAUGGGGGUUCAAGGAAUCUAUAUUAUUAAACAAUCUUCCUAAAUGACUUGUAUUCAUACUAAAGCUUGAGAAUUGCUAUCAAACAGCUAGAAGUUGGAGUGAAGGGUCCUGCCUUUCCCAUGAAAUUCAUCAACUCUAUGCCCUCAAAAGCUGGGCUCUUGGAUGAGCUGCUCUCCAUUCUAGAGACAUUACCAGCUAGGUAGCCUGCUGGUCCUCAGGAAGUUAAGCCCAGACUCUUCAGCACAGAAUCAGAUAAACACUGAUUACAUUGUACUCUACAGUUCUGAGAACACCAUUACUUAAUUCCCGGCAAGUUGCAAUGUAAUUGAGUAGGUUGUAGUUUUUUGGGUUUGGGGUUUUUUUGUUUUUUAAAUAUAUCAGGCGUAGUUAGCCAGCUUCCUAGAAACACCAUGAUCUCUUGGUGAAAAUUCCAGAAAUAUGCAUCACUUCCUAAUUAAAGUAGGGAAUUUUUAAAAAUUAUUAAACCACAUGCUUUCUAAUUCCUAUUGCCCUUUCUUUUCACCCACCAUUCAGCAGUCAGCAGACACUUUCUGGGUACAACAGGGUAGGACCAUCCAGGCAGAACAAAAGCCAUUGAUCAUGAACUACAGAGGAGAGUUUGGUAAAUGGACACCAGAAACCAUGGCCUACAGGGGCCUGGUUUUCUCCCAUCUAAAUACUAACUAGGCCCAACGCUAGUUGGGCUUAGCUUCCUAGAUCAGAUGAAAUUGGGCACAUUUAGGGUUGGGGGUAUGGCUCUCUAUUGUAAGUAGCAAGAGUUUGAGAGAAGAAAAAAGGGAUUUUCUUUUUUUUUUCUUUUAAAUUUUAGAGCAUUAACUUUAAACAUCAAGAUCCAAACCCCAAGGAUUCAGAGAAUCUUGUACUAUAAACCAUUUGUAUUAGUCAGGGUUCUCCAGAGAAACAGAACCCAUAGGAGGUAUAGAGAUAGAGAAAUAUGGAAUUGGCUCCCAUGAUUAUGGAGGCUGAGAAGUCCCUCAAUCUGCUGUCUGUGAGCUGGAGACCUAGGAAAGCUUAGCUGGUGGUACAAACCAGCCCAAGUGCAAAGGCCCAAGAACUAAGAGCACCAUUGUCAGAGAGCAGGAAAAGACAGAUGUCCCAGCUCAAAAAGAGAGAGCAAAUUCACCUUCCUUCCACCAUUUUAUUCCGUCCUGUUCCAUUCCUCAACAGGUUGGAUGAUGAGGGAGAUCUUUAUCCAUCUCAAGUUUUUUGUGCAAAUAUGGAAUACAAAUGAAAAAUACUUAAAGCACAUCAUCAUUGAUUUCCAACUUAGACUAGUUUAACUUCCCUUUUUCUUCUAUCCUGUCAGUUCCUUGAGGGAUCCUCUCUCCUUGUUCAUCUCUGCAUCUCUAGUAAUUAGCACAGUGCCAGGCACAUGGUAAUAUGGCUAAAACAGUGGAUUAUUGGUCUCCAACAUAAUUAAGCCCAUCCAAAAGAAAAACCAACCUCAUAAAUCUGCUUUGCAAAGUUCAUAAACAAUGGAUAUGCUAUGUCUCAAAGGUGCUGGCCAAAAAAAUUUAAGAACUUGGGAAUUAUGUGUUAUUUUGUUUGUUUUUUUCACCAAGCCUACUUUUCUGUCACAAGAGCCCAUAUCAACAACACACCCAUGUAUGUCCUUCUUUUUAUCUACUUUUCUCCAUGAAGUUUGUCACCAUCAACUGUUAAAACUGUAAAGAUUUGAUCAGCUAAAUAAGUGGUCUUUGAACUAAUUCCUCUCGUACUUCCUAAAGGAACUUUGAAAAACUAUGUAUCCCCUUGCACAUUUUCAAGCAGACACCUAAGAUUUUUCAUCAUAAAUUUGAAUAACUUCAAAAUAUGUACUUAUUAGCAUAUUGUAAAUAUUGAUUUUUAAAUAAAAUAUAUCACACUUUGUAUCCAAUGAACUCUAAACACCAUAGCAAUUUGACACUUACUCUCCCACCCUCAGUCUUAAAAAUUCACCAACAACCUCUUUUUUAACAACCGAAAAAUUUGUAUUAUUCCUUUUUAAAAUUUUGAAGUUUUCUGGAUUGAAUUAUUUUUAUAAUGAUUUUUAGUAUACAACUGACCAAAGCAACAUAAAUAUAUAGCAUAUUUUGAUAAAUAAUUAUAAAACAUAGCAAGUUAUGUGUUAUUGGAAAAUUAAACUAAAUGAAUGGAUCUUUUUAAAUUAGUUCGGGUAUCUGUGGCUGUUCCUAACUGUUAAAAUGAGACAGAGUCAGCGUCAAUUCUACUCUUAUUUUUUAUUUUUUUAGACGUAAGCCCUGAGAAAACUUGUUCAAUUAAAUAAGUAAUGAGAAUGUUAGGCAUUUUCUGAUAAAAAUGUCACUCUGUUAUUUGAAUGCCUUCUUGAUUAUAAGUCAAAAAGUACAUAGUGAUCUAUUAUCAAAAACUAUUGGCCUAUCUGUUGACAACUUGGGUAGGUCCUCCUUUAAUUUUAUUGAAAGCAAAGAAUUGGAAACUACCUAAUUUACAAAAAAAAGAAGAAGAAGAAGAAGAAGAAGAAAUGUGUUACCUAAUUAUUAGAGCUCACUUUCUAAGUUUCUAGGAAGUAUGACCCAAAAAAGCUUGGCCAAGACUUAUCACAUGGCUGUUGAUUAUACCAUCACCCUUUUACUUACAGGCGUCUUGCUUAUGGACCUAAAAAAGAUGAAACUGGAGUUAGAAACAAAAACAGAAAAUUGUAAAUUGUGCAUUUGGGGACUUUUCUCCUUGACUGUGAACAGAGACCUAUAUACAAUGCCAAAUUUCAUUUUUUAAGAAUGUCUCAAAAUGCAGAGUAAAGAAAUGACAGAAGGACAGACACUUGGGGAUAUUCAUGUAUAUACUAAUAACUUCUUCCCAAAUAUGACUGAAGACAAUACACUUAGCAGAACUGAAAUCAAUAUAUUAACAUCUGAAAGGGAGAAAUUAAUCCUAAUUCAAUCAAGCCAGUUUUCUAAAGUUCAGGUCAUUGCAUAUUAGAUUUACAUUUUGGAAAAAUUUUUUUUGCUUUUGAACCAAUAGAUUUCUGCUUUUGACAGUAUAGUUUAAAUACUUUAUGUAAGUUGACAGCAAGAGAAAGAACUUAGUCACCAAUAAGUAUAGUACAAGAUUAUGGAAAGCACAUUAAGGACCUCUAAGCACAUUAGUUAGAGUAUAAUCUGCAAUAUAUUCCUGUUAAAUUACUUAAUGCUAAUUCUGUGGACUGAAUUUCAUUCCCCCAAAAUUUAUAUUUUGAAGGCUUAACCCUUAAUGUGACUAUAUUUGGAAAUAGUGCCUGUGAAGAGGUGAUAAAGGUUAAAUGAGGUCACAGGCUGGGGUCCUACUUCACUAGGACUGGUGUCCUUUAAAGAAGAGGACAAGAUGCCAGAUGCUCUCGUUCAUGUGCCCCCUUUCUCUCUCUCUCUCUCUCGCUGGUUCACUCUCUCUCUCUCUCCUCCUGCCCCCCAUGUGAGGAUAUAAGGAGAAGGCAGCCAUCUGCCAGCCAGGAAGAGAGCCCACACCAGAACUUGACCAUGCUGACACCCUAAUCUUGGAUUUCUAGCCUCCAGAGUUAUGAGAAAAUAAAUUUCUGUUAUUUAAACCACCUGGUGCAUGGUAUUUUGUUAUGGCAACACAAGCUGACUUAUAUACCUAAUAACUACAUGGCAGGAAUUAAUACAUGAACGGGAAAGUUGUUCAUGAGUGACAGUGAGCAGGAGACCUGUACCUUCAUCAGAAAUGAAUAUAGAUUUCAUAUUUUGCUAACUUUUAGCAAAAAUUAAUGAAAGUGUUUCUCCUAUAAAUCUGAGUAAAUAUUUAAGAAAAUACAAAAUACUAACUUACCUCUAAUAUGUGUUUCUUUUGUUAGAAAAUGUAGCCUUGAUAUGUUGGAAGAAACUGUAGUCUUUUCACCUUGAAGUUAUGCAAAUUACACUCCUGAG
rnacentral:lncRNA from 1 species